AGGUAUUUAUACUGUUGCUUGCACGAAUCUGUUGGUCUAGUUUCCUUAAGCGCAUGAGGUGUCAGGUUCGAAUAGGGAUCGCUCCAAAAACUGUGACUACUUUUUAUGUUGAAAAAUACCUACACAGUGCAUCUCGAAGUCAGGAAGUUUGACGCCUUAGCUUAGUCGAUACGUAGUUACUAAACGGAUGAGGAACCUGGUAUUGGGGAUGACGAAGAAAAGUGGGCAGAAAUCGUAGAUUAACGGAAAUGGACGAAAAGGGUAUCAUUCAUGAAUAAUGAUAGCGCUACGUAGUCCGGUCAUAUUAUCUACUCAUAAAAGUUUUCCACAGAGUUAUCAAUCUCAGCUGACAAAUACUCUGUCCAGUUAAUAGUUUUGUUUGUCUAAGGCGUUUGAGUUGUACAAUCAACUACACAACGCGUCUACACCAGAAUAAUUUUAAUAAUUUAUCUGCUUCCAACCAGUAUUUCUAAUUUAUCAAUAGUUUGGAUCUUUCAAACGUCAGUCGGAAUGGCCGAAAACCGUUCCACAGUGAGAUCUCUGGUGGACAACGCGACCUCAUAGGUCACCCCCCUUAGCUACGAGGCAUCGAGAAGAACGAAGAUUGUCAAUCUUUCACAGCAAAGAGAGAGAAGAAUUGAUGUGGUUUUCCAAAGGGGAUGGUUGAAGGGAUGGAGGGUGACAUAGGCUAUAUUGUCUCUUUCUCGCUCCCCGCAUCCCUACAAUGAGGUUGAAUCCAUCUGUGACUUACAGAAAAUCGCAUUCUCUGAGUACAGGUUAAUAAGAACAUAAUUUAAUUUAACAAAAAAUAAAUAAACUUCCGAGAUUUCUUUUGUGUUUUCAAUGAGUAUCCGUGUUACCAAGAAUUCAAAGUGAGCGAAGCCUCAUGCAAAAGCUAGUUUUGUAUCAAACGUUUAAGGUGGUCGAGGUAAAGGGACACAAUAAACGCUAAUAAGUAUACUCUGCGGUGGAGAUUAUUAGUCCCAUAUUUUCACAAAAAUGUCCCUUCAUCGCUGUCUGCUAAAAGGCAGACAGAAAGGCUGCUACAGCGCUCGACUGUCGACUGUCUGAUGACCGAUCUUCGAUGUCGAUGUCGAUCCGACAUAUUAUGUCGGACUCUCGGCGACUUAAAACACCCCGGGUCCCUUCAAUUGCCUGAGCCAGAGCUACGGGGUCGCUCUCUCAAUUCGCAUGUUGUCCUCGACGCUGACCGACCUAAGCCUGAUUUGGGACUAUGAAAGCUUCACAUUUCAUCACUACGUCAAUUUAUAAAUAUGAACAAUAAUAAAACAAUAAAUUAACUGCAUAAUUUACUAACCACUAAGAAUCACAGUCAACAAGAUGUUACAACAAAAAAUAUUUUUAUACAUUUUCACAUAUUUUUUAAAGUAAAAAUAUGAUCCUACCUACUUAUAUCACUUAUAAGUAGCGAAUUAAGUAACAAUAAUGAGGUCUGGUUGCACUAAUUAAAUCUAGUUCUAACUAGCUAAAACAAAAAAUAUGAAAAUUUAACAUUUGGUGAAAUUAGAUACUUGACCAAACGUAAAAGUUCUAUUGCAAGGGUUUUUUAUCAUAUCUUUUAUGAACU